CCUACGGGGUGCAGCAGUGAGGAAUAUUGGUCAAUGUGCGCGAGCCUGAACCAGCCAAGUAGCGUGAAGGAUGACUGCCCUACGGGUUGUAAACUUCUUUUAUAAAGGAAUAAAGUGAGGCACGUGUGCCUUUUUGUAUGUACUUUAUGAAUAAGGAUCGGCUAACUCCGUGCCAGCAGCCGCGGUAAUACGGAGGAUCCGAGCGUUAUCCGGAUUUAUUGGGUUUAAAGGGAGCGUAGAUGGGUUGUUAAGUCAGUUGUGAAAGUUUGCGGCUCAACCGUAAAAUUGCAAUUGAUACUGGCAGCCUUGAGUACAGUUGAGGUAGGCGGAAUUCGUGGUGUAGCGGUGAAAUGCUUAGAUAGCACGAAGAACUCCGAUUGCGAAGGCAGCUUACGAAACUGCCACUGACAUUGAUGCUCGAAAGUGUGGGUAUCAAACAGGAUUAGAUACCCUAGUAGUC
rnacentral:rRNA from 1 species